rnacentral:lncRNA from 1 species
AUGGCUGGCUUCCUUUCACACUUAUCUGGGUGGGGAAGGAAGCUGUUUGGGGAAGAUAUGCUGCAAUUCUUUCUGGGGGAGAUGGAAAGUACAGAGAUAAGAGCAAAAACAGGAAAAGAAACUGCUGUGCCAGAGGAAAUCCAAAUCUUGCUUACGUUUCUGGAAGGGAUUAUGGUGGAAAUUUUUACAUCUCUGGGCUCCAAAUCUGUAAAGAGCCUCUCUGCUCUCCAGAAGACAUUUUCCUCCAUGGAACAUGAGCAGGCCCCUGGAGAUGAUCCUCUCACUAGGGGGCUCCCUGACUUACCCAUCAGCUCUUCAACAAACAUCUGCAGGACCUCAUGGCGCUUGCCAGCUCUCGCUGUCUCCCACCAUCUCUUCCCAAUGCACGCGUCUGCCAGCAGCUUCUCAGCAGAACUCCGCCUCUCAUCUCCCUCUGAGACAAGACUUUUUGUUUUCCCUGGAGGUCCUUACCCAUCCCACAGUCUAUUCUCACCCCAGCUCUGGUUGUCUCCUCAGGAAGCCCCUAGGGUCCACCUGAUGUUGUCACUGUCUGCCCAGUCCCCAGGGCACGGCCUGGUCAGCUUGAGCACCAGCACUGGCAGUGGGUGGCAUUGAUUUUCUAGAAGAUGUACUAUUCCUGGGAUUUCAGGUCUCUCAAGAUCAGGAGCCAUGACCUAGCUUUGUGUUCUCAGGAUGUAACACAUCCCUAAUAAAUAAAGCAGCCCUGUAACUGAGUGUCCAGUAGAUGCAAAUACUCCUUAGAGCUCUGCAGUAUAAACAUAGGCUCUACCAUGAGCCUGUGCACAGCAGUUCAUGGAGUGAACACUUCAGCAAGGAAAAGGCACUCUGGGGGAUAAAGGCCCAUAUGCUGUUUCCUGGAAGGCUCUACAUCAUGUGGUGUGAAGUCUGCUUUUUAUAUACAUCUAGAAUAACUCAGGCCCCUGGUUAGUAAAGGCCUACAAGAGGCCCAUGUCUCACUCCACCAGCCUCUGGCAUAUUGUGUAACACUACGCUAGACUUUCACUUCCUCCACCAGAGAAAGUCUCUCCCAAACCUCACCAACUGUGGCUCAGGAGAUGUAUUCCUGCCUGAGAUUUCAGGUGUUCCAAGGUCAGGAGGCAUGACCUGGCCUUGUGUGCUCAGGAUGCAAAAGGUAUCUAAUAAAUAAGGCAGUCCUAUAACUGAG